GACGAACGCUGGCGGCGUGCUUAACACAUGCAAGUCGACAUGAGUGGCGAUCGGUAGAGUAAGACGUGGGUACCCUGCCCUCCUUUUUGGGAUAAGCCAUGGAAACGGAGUCUAAUACCGUAUAGAGGGGGAUGGGCUCGCGGCCUAUCAGCUUGUUGGGGGGGUGAUGGCCUACGAAGGCGGUGACGGGUAGCCGGCCUGAGAGGGUGAACGGCCACAAUUGGACUGGGAGAACGCCCAGACUACGACGGGGGGGAGCAGUGGGGGAUAUUGCACCAUGGGCGAAAGACUGAUGCCGCGGGGGCGCGUGGGGGAUGAAGGCUUUCGGGUUGUAAAACUUUUUCGGUAUCGAACGGGUAGGUGGAGAAGAAGCGCCGGCUAACUACGUGCCAGCAGCCGCGGUAAUUC
rnacentral:rRNA from 1 species